GACGAACCGUGCGAACGUUGUUCGGAAUCACUGGGCUUAAAGGGCGCGUAGGCGGGUUUUCAAGUCUGUGGUGAAAGCCUCCAGCUUAACUGGAGAAGUGCCGUGGAUACUGGAGACCUCGAGGAGGGUAGGGGGCAUCUGGAACAGCCGGUGGAGCGGUGAAAAUGCGCAGAUAUCAGGAGGAACACCGGUGGCGAAGGCGGAUCUCUGGGCCGAUACUGACGCUGAGGAGCGAAAGCGUGGGGAGCGAACAGG
rnacentral:rRNA from 1 species